GCCAGGGCUUCUCCUCUCCGCUCUCCACUUCACUCUGACAUCUUGUUCUACAGUUUUUUUUCCUUGCGUUGCUCGGGAGACGAUGCCUUUAAGCACUUUCGGAUAAAAACACGCACAAACGAGGUCAUUAGCCUUGGCCGGAGCCCCUGACAGGCUUACGGCUUAAAGCGUACACUCGCGGUAACAGCAAUCACCCUGACAUUUUACUUAAUCUGGAUUUAUGGGGACAAAGUGCUCCUUUCAGCUACAAUGCAGCCACUCCAAAUUUGACAAGCUCUUCGUCACCUGACCUCCUGAGGCUGAAGGCAGAGAGCCUAGAAUGCUGCUGGCCCUUUUCUCCCUGGAUCAAUCAGCUAAUGCCGUCCAUGAUGUCUGGAUGCCGAUUGGUGGAGUGAUGUCACCCUGGAAGAAAAUCGGAGGCAUGACGUCAUCCCAGAUGCUGAAUAGAGAAAUGAUGUUUGGGUUAUGAAUGUGUGGCUUAGCAGGCUAAGCCUCUGUGCUUGUGAUCAGAGGGUUGCUGGUAUGAACCCAUCUUCAGCAGAAUAGUCACAUGUCUCUGGACCCCUGAACAAAGCCCUUAACGCCCAACUCCAUGGGUGUCUCCGCAGGAGGCUGCCCUUCAUUGCUAAGCUUGCUCUCACCUGCAUGUGCGUCAUGGAGAGCUAGAUGGGGUGGCUCUUACGGCUUGACCCCGUGACUCACUCACCAGCUUCACCAGUUCUGCCUUCGCCUGCUACAGACGAGUGGCGGCUCGGAUCCACAGGAAGCCCCCGGCUUUGCUCCCAAAGCUCACCGUUGCCCUCUACAGGAGCUGCAUCCUUCGAAGGGCAAACCGGGACACACCUACUUCACCUCAGCGCAAUGAAUCCUGGGAUAGAUUCAGCCAUGAAGGAUCCAUCGGGUGCAUCCUUCACGGGGCAGGAAAGGAUUUCAAGACGUCUUCAAAAUGGGAUAUUCUGGUUGUGCCACUGUGGUGUAUUUGGCCUUCGAUGUGUAUGUUUGGUUAAUGACAGGUUUCCGUCUCUGUCCUGUCUCUGUCUAGGGUAGAAUAGGUCACAGGAAGUUAAUAACAAUAUAUAUCAGUCAGCUGUCAUUAUAGAAUAUUAAUAAUUUGUGUUGCUGUCAAUAUGCCUCAAGUCCAGCCCCCAAACACCUGCAACGUGUCCUGAUGUUAAAUCAUUCUGCAUCUCUGUUCUGCUUCUCUGUUUCACACAUUUAACUCACCUUCAGAGAGGAGGAAGCUGGAAAGAAGAUAGAUGGAGGAAACAAAAAAAAUCCGGUGGUUGGUUCACCUAGAAAUGUCCGAGAUGGAGAAUACCGGAGGAAUGGGUUUUCAGCUGACGUGAAAAGAAACUUAUUUUGUUCGAAGUUGCUGUCGAUGAUACGCAUAACGCGUAAAGGCAAUCAUUAGAUUUUCCCGUGAUCAGAGGCAUCCAAGCGGUGUCCUGCUUUCGCAGAUCGCCGCAUGACUUUAAGGGUUUACAGCCUGUGAUGCGCGCAGCGGCGCCGGGCGGCAUUAAGGGAAUCCUUUGAAGGGCAUUACAUUAGCGCUGAACCCGAGAAACGCGCUUCUCUGAUUAAUACCUAUGUAACCGUAGCCGUUUCGUUAAUUGGCAGGGUAAGGAUCUCCGAUAGACUAAGUAGAAAGCCUGGACAUCUCCAUAAAAAAGUUUCAGGCUUAAUUAAGAAAGCUGAAGGUAUCCAUUUAAUAGACUUAAUUAACCGUUGUCUCCAGCUAUAUCUGCAAGGAGAGAAAAAAAGGCACGGCUAAAAGGGAAGAUCAAAUGAGUUAUUAAAAUGAUAUAACGGCUGAGUAAAUUAGGGAAGUAAUAUGAGGGCAGGAUAACGAGAUAAUUUCAUUUGAGGUGGAAAUGAAGAGGUAGUUUAAGAGCUUAUAGAUGAUACGGAGAUAUUGAGCAAUAUUCAUAAUAAUAAACAAAAUCAAUAUUUCCAAAGUAAGCCAUAUUAUGUGACUGGUGCAACGUCGAGUAAUUGUGGUAAUUUUGUUCAUUAUAAUGAACAAAUGUAUGUUUUUGAUCUGAUACGUGAUCCUAUUAAGAUUAAGGUUGUAUAAAGAAUGUUACAGUAUAGCUACGGACGGAUAACAGAUUUCUUGAUAAGAAAAUAUUCUAGACGGCAUGUCAGACUUCACUGGAACUGGAGGCUGAAAAGGCAAAAAAUGUGUUGGGGUUAAGUGGGAAAAGGCUCCUGGAUGUAUGAGACACAAUGAAACUGUGAGAUUUAUUUUACAGUAUAUAGAUACUUCUGAUCCUUAUUCUGCUGCAUGCCUAUAGGCUUACUUCCUGUUCAGAGAGCUUUACCGUAGAAGCGGAUCGUUCUCUGCAUCGCGUCCAACUCUUUGUUUUGAAGUUCCCAGUCUUACUGGAGCCACUGGACGUAAAACCAGCAAGGGACUUACAGCCAAUAGCGGGGCGACAGGAAAGCAAUAAUCAAUAAAAUUCAUUACCCUCCCAUCAGCGCCGGGGGGUUUAAAAUGUCAUUUUGAGUACAAAGAACAUGUGGAUCGAGAAUGAGAAUUAUAAGUGUUUAAUAAUUCAUAUGCGUAAGUAAGACUCACUAGCUGAGCUUUGAAAGCUCUCUUUGUCUUCUCUAUUGAUUUUUUUCUUUUUUAACUAACUUGGGGAUUUAUUUGUUUCGCUAUGACUGUGUGCAGAAAAGGGGACAUUCACAGCACACGCCUUUAUGUUUGGUUUGUGUUGUGCCGUUUUUGCACCUGUGUAUGACUACAUAUGUGCAUGUAUACAGUACAUGCAUGUGAGUGUGUGUGCGUGUAUGUUUAGUGGCGGAGCUAGAAAUUAUAGGUCCCCCGACAAAUUAUUACCUAGGAAUCCCCACUUGGAGGGGAAGGGGGUCCCCCUUCAUAGGGGGCAGGUUUGUUAUUGUGUGCUGUGCCAGGAUCUUCUCAAUAGAAAAAACAUUUAUUUAAUAUAUAGUGCAGUAACUGUUUGUUGCCAGCAGGGGGCAUGCAAAUGUGUAGCUUACAUGGCGGUACACGGCAGUUUUGUGUGUUUAUAUGUGGCCGUCUAUCCUCACCCCCCCCCCCCCCCCCCAUCCAUGUUUCCUUAGGGAAGCUCCCGACACACGUACACCAGGUCAAACAACUGUCCACUUCACGAUAAGUCCAGGCCCACUGUGUGAAACGAGUCAGCUCUUUCAAACAGGAAAACUGAGCCCAGGACUUUGCAGUCUCUCUGCAUCUGUGCUCAGAGGGGUUCAGACUGUAAACAAUCCAGCGUAAAUAAUUCACACCUGUCUCUCCAUCCCUGACAAAUCAUCACAAAUACUUUAAAGAAGGGAGCGCCAUUUAAUUUGUAUUUAUAUGGUACGUUCAUGCUGACACAAGGUAAGGUUUCCCCUGAAUAUUAAUCCCUGAGAUUUUAUAACCAGUGAUUAUUUUAUCCUUUUAGUUUUACAAAGACAUCUGCGGUGAAAUGAUGUGCAAGUGAGCAUUGGACAUGUUUCCCGCUUUGUUAAAACAUAACUGUUAUUAAGACCGUAGCCCUUUUCUUGUGAUAUAGGUUGCACAUUGUAUUGAUUUUCAGGCACUUGAAAGCCACUGUGCUGUGGGGUGCAUAUAAAGGCAUAUUCCUCUUAAAGACAUGCAGCCGCUCCUACAGCCAAUUGAUCAUACUGAAGACGAUAUAAGAUAUUUUUAUGUAGUAAGGAAUAUAACACAUAGAUCUUCUGCUGGAUCUUUCAUUACUGUUGUGACUAUCACCCUAAAAGUAAGUGUGCACUCCUUCACUUCCCUUAAGUGCACACUUCGUGUAGUGCAUUCUUUACGUUUCUUCAGAGCGUGAAACCUCUUGCUUCUAUUAUCUGCUUCAGGUCAGUGAUAACAGAUUUCUGCAGUAUGCUAGUAUAUACCUCCUCCUGUGUGUAUACCUGUGUAAAUUUCAUGUUGCAAGCUCACCAUGCAGUUCACUUCCUUCUCAAGAGUGCAUUGCCAUGUGCCUUCAUGUAGUGAGCCUUUACUACUGCUAGGGCACUCCUACUGUAUUACACCUUACUGUAUUUAUUUAGUGUGCAUUCAGUUCAGAUAACAUUUCGUUGCAGUUGUGUGCCCUGCAAACAGCAUAAGCUUAAAAAAUGUCUCUAUACACAGGAUGGAACUCUUCAUUAUCCAUCCAUCCAUUUUCCAAACCGCUUAUCCUACUGGGUCACGGAGGUCUGGAGCCUAUCCUGGAAGCAAUGGGCACGAGGUAGGGAACAACCCAGGAUGGGGGGCCAGCCCAUCGCAGGGCACACUCACACACCAUUCACUCACACAUGCACAUCUAUGGGCAAAUUAGCAACUCCAAUUAGCCUCAGCAUGUUUUUGGACUGAGGGGGGAAACCGGAGUACCCGGAGGAAACCCCACGACGACAUGGGGAGAACAUGCAAACUCCACACACAUGUGACCCACGCGGAGACUCGAACCUGGGUCCCAAAGGUGUGAGGUAACAGUGCUAACCACUGCACCACCAUGCCACCCCCCUCUUCAUUAUUAAAUAUUAAAUAAUUCACUAUUAUGACUCUUGAAAAUUGCAGGGUUCGGUUGCUAUAUAAAUAAAGCAAUGUCUUUCCUGUCUCUCAACAACAAACAAAACAUAUAACUUCAUUUGUUUUCUAAAGAAUAUGAUCUCUCCUCUCUAUUUUUUAGGCCUCUCCUCUGUGAAUCAAAACAAUAAUGCUGUGGACAGAACACCUAAUUAUCAUCAAGUAAUACAGGCUUUUCGGAGCUCCAAUUGAGCUGCAGGUGCAGGGGGCAGAAUAUUCAAGAACAUCUGUGCACAUUCAUCACAUAAAAUGACAUAGGGAGGUAAAGCUGCUCCGUAAUCCUGACACUGCCCGUAACUCCUUUCAUUAUUGAUAGAGUCUUCGCAGAAACACCAGCAAUUCUCCGUGAUCCUACAUUUAAAAGGUUCCAUGAGAGUAGGAGCCGGAGAUGUAACUUUCAAACAGACAACUUUAAUUAGUUUCCACUGAGCACAGAGGACCGGGCGGAUUGUGAUGAAACAGUGUA